AUAUUUACAACAUAUGAUCCUUUUCUUACCACAUGGUCACUAAAUUUGUAUUUUUAAGUUAACUAUGAUGAUUCUUUUAUCGUAUUUAUAUUCAUGUUUUAGUCCCUCCUUUUUAACUCAUGGACAAAAAAUUACAGAAAAAACACGGUGAUUUAAAUUUAAUUUAUUUUUUUAUAUGCGUCUCACAACAAUUGGAUUCGCAUCUGCGCUGGCUCGCGCCCACGCCCCACACCGACUCCCGCUUGCCCGCGCAGUAAUCUAAUACAAAAAACAGGAUGAUUUAAAUUUAAUUUAUUUUUUUCAUAUGCGUCUCACAACACUCAGUAAUCUAAUAUAGAAAACUCAGAAAUUAUAU
rnacentral:lncRNA from 1 species